GACGAACGCUGGCGGCGUGCUUAACACAUGUAAGUCGAGCGGAAAGGCCCUUCGGGGUACUCGAGCGGCGAACGGGUGAGUAACACGUGAGCAACCUGCCUUUAGCUUUGGGAUAACCCUCGGAAACGGGGGCUAAUACCGGAUGAACACUGCCGGGCGCAUGUUUGGUGGUGGAAAGUUUUUCGGCUAGAGAUGGGCUCGCGGCCUAUCAGCUUGUUGGUGGGGUGAUGGCCUACCAAGGCGACGACGGGUAGCCGGCCCGAGAGGGCGACCGGCCACACUGGGACUGAGGCACGGCCCAGACUCCUACGGGAGGCAGCAGUGGGGAAUAUUGCACAAUGGGCGAAAGCCUGAUGCAGCGACGCCGCGUGAGGGAAGACGGCCUUCGGGUUGUAAACCUCUUUCAGAUCCGACGAAGCGCAAGUGACGGUAGGGUCAGAAGAAGCGCCGGCCAACUACGUGCCAGCAGCCGCGGUAAGACGUAGGGCGCAAGCGUUGUCCGGAUUUAUUGGGCGUAAAGAGCUCGUAGGCGGCUUGUUGCGUCGACUGUGAAAACCCACGGCUCAACCGUGUGGUCUGCAGUCGAUACGGGCAGGCUAGAGUUCGGUAGGGGAGACUGGAAUUCCUGGUGUAGCGGUGAAAUGCGCAGAUAUCAGGAGGAACACCGGUGGCGAAGGCGGGUCUCUGGGCCGAUACUGACGCUGAGGAGCGAAAGCGUGGGGAGCGAACAGGAUUAGAUACCCUGGUAGUCCACGCUGUAAACGUUGGGCGCUAGGUGUGGGGGGCCUCUCCGGUUCUCUGUGCCGCAGCUAGCGCAUUAAGCGCCCCGCCUGGGGAGUACGGCCGCAAGGCUAAAACUCAAAGGAAUAGACGGGGGCCCGCACAAGCGGCGGAGCAUGCGGAUUAAUUCGAUGCAACGCGAAGAACCUUACCUGGGUUUGACAUGGGCGCUAAAGCCUCAGAGAUGGGGUGUCCUUCGGGGGCGUUCGCAGGUGGUGCAUGGCUGACGUCAGCUCGUGUCGUGAGAUGUUGGGUUAAGUCCCGCAACGAGCGCAACCCUCGUUCCAUGUUGCCAGCGGGUUAUGCCGGGGACUCAUGGGAG
rnacentral:rRNA from 1 species